GACGAACGCUGGCGGCGUGCUUAACACAUGCAAGUCGAACGGAAAGGCCCUGCGUUUGUGGGGUGCUCGAGUGGCGAACGGGUGAGUAACACGUGAGUAACCUGCCCUUGACUUUGGGAUAACUUCAGGAAACUGGGGCUAAUACCGGAUAGGAGCUCCUGCUGCAUGGUGGGGGUUGGAAAGUUUCGGCGGUUGGGGAUGGACUCGCGGCUUAUCAGCUUGUUGGUGGGGUAGUGGCUUACCAAGGCUUUGACGGGUAGCCGGCCUGAGAGGGUGACCGGCCACAUUGGGACUGAGAUACGGCCCAGACUCCUACGGGAGGCAGCAGUGGGGAAUAUUGCGCAAUGGGCGGAAGCCUGAUGCAGCAACGCCGCGUGCGGGAUGACGGCCUUCGGGUUGUAAACCGCUUUCGCCUGUGACGAAGCGUGAGUGACGGUAAUGGGUAAAGAAGCACCGGCUAACUACGUG
rnacentral:rRNA from 1 species